rnacentral:lncRNA from 1 species
GUGCGGGUCCGGCUGACCGAGAGGCCACACUGGGCCCUGGGCCCUGCCCCGCCGUCGCCACCUCUCCACUUCCUGCCAGCCCCACAGCUGCCCGCCAGGCAGGGCACAAGGGCCCAUUAUGACGUCACGGUGAGAACCAGCAAAGGGCUCACUGUCAUGCAGACGGCUGCGUCCCCAGCAAGCACCCAUGCGGCCUACCCUGUGCCUGCCUAGCAGAAGGGGCAGCUGCACUUGGGGCGCAGCACACAGCACGCUGCCAGCACCACCAGCACCAGGGCACAGCGUCCUGGUGGAGCAGUGGUGUCCAGGGCCUGGCUUCCAGGGCUCCCGGUGCUAAAACAGCCAUCAGGGACGGAAGCCAGAUCCGUGGGGGUGACAGGCUCAGGGCUCCGUCCUCGCGCUGGGACUCCAGGCCCUGGCUAGGAGGAUGCAGGAGCCACAACUGGGCAGGGAGCCCCCGCCUGCACACAGUCUGCCCGUGGCACACACCUGCUGUGUAGAUGCCACCAGACCAGGGCGAAGACAGGGAUGGAGGCCAAGCCAGACCUCAGCUCCAAACCCGACCCAGGGUCUCACCUGGGCACCCAGGCCGGUGCUCCUCCUGGUCCCAGAGCCACACCUGCAGGCUGAACGCCACUGAAGCAACGAGGACGUGCCAGCCACACCACAGGCCUGACCACACAGUCCCACGAACACACCACUGCAGGUCAGGUGGUGUGCAUCGAAGAAACCCCGGCCCCUGCCAGCACUGACGGCGCCUGCCCGGGCACCCCAGGGCUCCAGCAACUUUGUCUGACAAGAUGGCCCAGCCAUUGUCCCGCCCGCCUGGGGUGGCCCCUCGGGCACCCUGCCCAGGGACCUCCACGUCCUCCGCUGGCCGACCCAUGUCCACCACGCCUGGGACAGGAUGGGGCUCCGAGCAGGGGAUCGCAACAGCCCCCGCGGAGUGAGCCUGCCCACAUCCCGCAACCCAUGAUCCCCAGCCGGGGGCUGCCUCCCCCCUGCCCACCACGCAGCCUGGGAACUUCACUUACCCAGCACACGCGCGGCCUUCGGUGGCCUCGGCCAGACAACUUGAAGGAACUCUGCACACAAAGGGAGGAGGGCACUCAGGGCAGCCGGCACCCGGGGCCCAGCCCGAUGGCCUGGGGGACGGCCCCCGCGCCCCACGCCUGGCCCAUCCUGCCUGGGCCAGCGCAGCGCUGAACAGCACACACGGAGGCCGCUCCCUUCCCGCGAGACUUGGGCUCCAGCUCGGGAGGCACGGCAGGAGCGGCGGCCAGGCCAGUCCCCCCAGCUUCCGGCCCGGCGGCCCCCGAAAGCAGGCCGAGGCCCGGAAGGGACAACGUGCAGGGCUGCUGGAGCCCACCGCGGGCCUCACCACCCAGACGCGGCCUCAGCGGUGCUGCUCCUGCACUCCGGGCCUGUAAACAGGGAAUUACAUAAGUCCACCCCUCUUGUUUGGGAGCCAAAAGUACGAGCUUUCUCUCCCAGCCCUGGCAGCGCUGCUUCCGGCCGGGGAGCCUGCAGCAGGAGACCUGAGAGAAAAACCACCUCAAGUUUCACAGAUGCAAAUCCACACAAUGGAGCAUGAUUCUGCCACAGAAAGGAUGGACCCUGGUACUGCAUACUUAGAAUCUCAGCCCUCUGGGAGGCUGAGGCAGGAGGACUGAAAGUUCGAGCCCCACUUGAGCAACUUAGCUUAGUGAGACUCUGACUCAAAAUAAAAAAUAAAGGGGGACAGAGGGACACCGGGGAUGUAGCUCAGUGCAAAGGCCUUGGGGUGAAUGCCCAGUAACCCAUUCCCACAAAGGAAUUUGGCCCUGACCCAGGACAUGGGAGGGCAGACCCCGGAAAGAUAAUGUUGCGUAGGAGAGGCCAGAUGAAAAAGCACACCCUGUGUGACCCACAAUCCCACUCAUGUGCGUAGAAACUUGGGGACAGCGGGCUGACUGGAGCCUACCAGGGCCUGGGACGGGUGACAGGAGAGACCCUCGCUAGCCCGGGCUUCCUUCAGGGUGGAGAAAGUGCUGGAAGCUCGGGGCUCGACAUUACGAACACACAGAAAACUGGGGAGCCACUUGCUGAUGGAUGGUUCACUUCGUAUCAAUGAGCCCCACCUCCAUCAACAGCAGAAGGACCUCAGCC